AUGCACAACACCUGUGGGCCAGGCAAAACUGGGGACCAGUUGUCAAAGGAAGAGAAGUGCAGGCCUGGGGCUAUCAUGGCUGGAUUUUUCACUGGCUUUGGGGAAGGUCCUGCACCUCUCCGCAGCUUUUAUUUCUCUCCUACCCCGUCUCUUGCCUGUUUAAAUUGCCACUCCUUUGGAGGAGGAUCCGUGCUAUGCACCAUCCCAGCGCCCACCAUGAAGCCUACCGGGACAGCUGCUCUCCUAACCACCCACCCAAUGGCUGAAUUCCCCAGCAAGGACAACGACUUAUUUAUGCUCGUCCCUCUUAAAUAGAUGCCUGCUGGGCCUGAUCCUGAACUCACAGAGGUUUCUGAAAGUCUCCUUUCUGUGGAGCUGAGCAGACUUUGGAUCACCCCUCAAGGUACCUGGAUAGCAUGAAUAGGAAGGACCCAUCUGCCUUAAUGCUUAUAUAGUAUGAAAUUUCACCACAUUUCUUAAUAUGUUUUGCAAGACAGCUGUGCCACUGUUUUGAGGGAACACAGCAGAAGAAGGAUAUCCCACUGAAUCCUGCAGAGUAUUCCAUCUACAGCUCCGUCCCCAGAUACUAGCACUUGAAACCUUUGACUUGUUUUAAAUUAGAUGAGGGAUUGCCCAUUGCAGAGGGGACCUGCUGUACUCAGUUUGCUUUCUGUGUUUUUUUUCCUUCUUCUUUUUUUUUUUUUUUUUGACACUUCAGAAGAUAUUUCAGUGCAGAAGGGCCAUCUCAAGGACAGCUUCUGCACAGCUCUGACCAGGGGCUCUAGCCAGGAAUGCUCUUUCUAGGUCUGUGUUUGCGCCCUUAUUGCUUUAAUAGCAGCAGGUAAAGUAAAGACGCAACAUAAGUGGUAAAUUAAAAGCUGUUUGUGUCUAAGUCAUCCCAUCUGUGUCUUUUGGAUAGAAGUCAACCAUCUUUGAAACCACAUGCAUCAAGCAAUUGGCUAAAUGUCCUUGUAGACAGGAUGUCUCCUAUUUGCAUUUGAAGUGCUGCGCUUUCUGUUUAAAAUAUGAAUGCAACUCACUUAUAUCAUUUUCUUAACCUGUUUACAAAUAGUGGCUAUUGCAUAAUUGAAAAUAGGUGUUAAAAUGCUGAAGCUGUCAAAGGGCUUUAAAGCAUCUUUGUGUGAAGUACAUGAGAUUUAUUGAAAACACCUGAGGUGGCGUACACCCCAGCCUCUCCCCUGCCUCCAGCCCAGCCCACCACCGCCACUGCCACCCACCACCACCUUUGAAGUCAGUUCCUUGGUCAUAGACAUGUUGCAAGUUCGGGUACACACCUAUCAUUCAAAGGGCAAUACAUUAUCCGCAUGACAGAUGUAAUCAGUCCCUUGGUCUCUUAGAAGUGCAGCUGUUGGUGAAUUCUUUUUUGUGAAUGUAAUAUUUGAGAAGACUUAAGUUAAAAACUGACACUUCCAUUGAAAUCUCAUCUCCUUUGGAAAGAAGGUUCCCGUUUUCUGGCUCUCCUCUGCGUGUGACAGCCAGGGAUGUGUCAAACAGCAUUCAACUGACAGUUUCCAACAGAGAUGCCAUUAGCAAAGAUGGCAUGGAAAUAACCUUCCCUUAGAAAUGUUUUUAAUGCGAGCUGUUUAUAUUCGGAGCUGUGGCUAGGCCAAACCGAAAGGAACAACCUCAUUUAGGAGGAAGGCAAACACUGAAAAAUAAUAACAAUAAUAAAUGCUGCGCCUUGGGAGCA
rnacentral:lncRNA from 1 species